UACGAAGGGGGCUAGCGUUGCUCGGAAUCACUGGGCGUAAAGCGCACGUAGGCGGAUUGCUAAGUCAGGGGUGAAAUCCUGGAGCUCAACUCCAGAACUGCCUUUGAUACUGGCGAUCUCGAGUCCGGGAGAGGUGAGUGGAACUGCGAGUGUAGAGGUGAAAUUCGUAGAUAUUCGCAAGAACACCAGUGGCGAAGGCGGCUCACUGGUCCGGUACUGACGCUGAGGUGCGAAAGCGUGGGGAGCAAACGGG
rnacentral:rRNA from 1 species